CAUAAAGGGAAAACGGACUCACUAGGAGGACCUAGACUCUUUCAGCUUGAACUGUUAACCAAUGGUGGAAAUGCAAGAAUGCUGAAGUUGUGCCUUCGGAGCCAAUAGAGUGGAUUUGUGUGUCCCACAUGACUGCGUUUCCCCUGUCUUUCACAUGGGCAGUAUUUAGUUCAAUUCAGAACUGCAGAUAGUAUAGUGUGCAGAGCAGCAAUGGGAUGUCUGAGCACAAGUGGCUGACUUCCAGGCGACUUCAGGAAGCACAUUUAUGUAUUUCUCCUGAAUUAAACUGGGAUUCUGCACCUUUGACAUCCUCUGACCCUCCUUGUCUCUGCAGAAGGAGACAGCAACCUGCACAGCACAACAAAACUACAAGUCACCACAGAGCUGCAGACCAGCAAAAGGAGUGAACUGAAGGCAAUUUGACCAACAUCAUCUGUGUCAGUUCCUCAGAAGUCAAUGAAACGUAUUAUCGGGUCUCCAAGAAAGAAGUUUGUGGAACUGCCAGCUCCUUGCACAAAGACUGAAAUAGGAUGGGCAGAGAAGGGCGUUGGUAAGAGAGAAAAGACUGAAGUUGCACCAUCUGUAUGAUUAAAUAAUUGUGUGAAUUUUUUAUUUCCCCCCACUCCUUUCAGACAUUUGAGGAUUCUGUCAAGUCAAUGGAGUUCUGUUGUAGUGGUUGCUUCAGUGAACAUUCAACGCUGUCGGCCUUAACACCGAAGAUAGCAACCUAAUCAUCACAUGAUGUUUCUCCCCUACCCUGCCAAGCUUUACAAAAAGGUCACAAUCAACAUUCAUUGCUGUCGGUGGGUUUAACUAUGUGGACAAGCUCACUGAACAAUGAAUGCAACUGUGGCCCCACAUUUUACGGUUGCUGUUGAGAGGAACACCAGCUCUGAAUGCAGUAGUGAGAAGCGAGCACUUCUUAUAUAGACAUUGCAUUUUUCUGGUCAAAGAUAUAGUUGGGGGUGGUCAAGUUUACUGGCUUGUUUUAAAGUGUGUUUAACUUAGCUGUCUAGAAAAAAAAAUCAUCGUUGCCUUUUCUGGAAUAUUGUUGUCCCAUAGUCUAGCAUCAUUGAGAGCAUAAUUCUCAUUCAGUAUAUCUGUGGAAAUAAAUAACAAUGAGGGGAACACCAUGUAUAUCCCCUCUUAAGGGGUAAAGAACACUUACAUUUCAUUUUAACUAAGUGCCGUGGAGUAGUUCAAAGAUUUCUUCUAUCUUUGUCAUAACAAAUACAAAUGGGAGCCAGAAUUCAAAGAAACAGAUCGAAUGUAAUAUCUAAAAGUGGAUUAACUUUCCGUAAAACUGAUAUUAAGUACCUAAAUAAACACUAUUAGACAAUGAAUAGUACUAUAUUUGCCCUUUUAGAGAUUUGAAAGAUGACAGAGAAAUGCAUAUUCAGAAAUAAUAAUGGAAAUGUAGUUGAAUUGUAAAAUUAUUGUAAAAUUAUUGUAAACUUUGGGUACCUAUGUCACACUCUCAGGAUUGCUGACAGCAAUAAGAAAAUAAAAGUGUAAA